UGGGGAAUUUUGCACAAUGGGGGAAACCCUGAUGCAGCGACGCCGCGUGAUUUAGAAGGCCUUCGGGUUGUAAAAAUCUUUUUUACGGGAUGAAAAUGACAGUACCGUAAGAAUAAGGUCCGGCUAAAUACGUGCCAGCAGCCGCGGUAAUACGUAUGGACCGAGCGUUGUCCGGAAUCAUUGGGCGUAAGGGUACGUAGGCGGCCUAGUAAGUUAGAAGUGAAAUAAUAUAGCUCAACUAUAUAAAGCUUUUAAAACUGCUAGGCUUGAGAGAUGGAAGGGAAAGUGGAAUUCCUAGUGUAGCGGUGAAAUGCGCAGAUAUUAGGAAGAAUACCGGUGGCGAAGGCGACUUUCUGGUCAUCAUCUGACGCUGAGGUACGAAAGCGUGGGUAGCAAACAGG
rnacentral:rRNA from 1 species